GAUUCAUGCCAUUUUCUAGGGUUGGGUUAGUUAUGGCAGGAGUGGCUUUGUUCGCAAAAGCCACCUCUCUCCCGAGCUCUCCUGCCAUAUGAUAUCCUCCGCCAUGUUAUGAUCCAGUGAGGUGGCCCUCACCAGAUACCAGCACCUUGAUUUUGGACUUCCCACUUUCCAGAGAUAUCCAAUGUGAGGAAUCUGAGCCUAGAGCCUGGAGACCACAGGGCAGCAGUUGGAAAGGGAGGGUGGAUGUCAACUGUAGGAUGGAGAAAAAUGAGGAACAGAGACAUACAACUUGCUUGAUAGAAUACAGUACCCGAUGGUGAUCACACAGCUCACAACAUCCUUCUGAGUCAAGAAGAGAAGUGGGGUGGAUUCCCCUACUCCGCUUCUGGUGAAAAAAGAGCAAAGCAGUCAAGCGAUUACUCAAAAGUACCAGGGAAAGUUAGUGAUGGUGUUGAAACAAUUUCACAUUCAAAAUGAAUGGACGCACAUACCGGAAAAGACAAGAACUCUUUCCAUGCAACCAACAGGG
ensembl:lncRNA